rnacentral:lncRNA from 1 species
GUGGUUACCAUAGAUACAUAAAUUGCUACAUUAAUGCACUAAAUGAAGGUAUUAACGAAGGUGGUCCAAAACCUCUAACAGCAACAAACACAACAGUAGCAGCAGCCACCGGUGGAGGAGCCGGUGGCUCAUUCAGUGCUAUCUAGGCACAGCCGUCAUCCUUCAUGACGUUCACCUUCCUCAUCUCCAAAGUGGCGACCAUCUCGAC